AAAACUUCUCUCUCUUAUUUUCUCCAAUCUCUUUCUAAAAAGCUACAGAUUUAAGAUCUUUGUUCCGGUGGCCGGUGGCCUUCCGCCACCGUUCGCCUAACCUUUUGUUUUUUUUUUUUUCGUUGACAGAUUUAAGAUCUUUGUUCCGGUGGCCGGUGGCCUUCCGCCACCGUUCGCCUAACCCUUUUUUUUUUUUUUUUUCGUUGAGUUGUAUUAUACUCUCGUUUUCGCGUAGGCGACUCUCGUUUUCGCGUAGGCGACUCUCUGUUCGCAUAGGCGAUUUUGUUGUGUAGCUUCAUCCAAAUCGGAGUGUUUGUCAUUCCUAUCUUCUCCGAUAAGGUUGAAGAUGAAUAAAGUUCUUGAAAGUUCUUUCCUUUCGCAGUUUCUUCGUGUUUAAUUCCAUCAAUUAUUUGAUUGGAUGCUUUGUUCUUUGUUUCAACUGAACAUCCUUUUAUAAGAGUCAGGCUUUACCGUUUUAUAUAGUCAUAAAUAGGCGUUCAAGGUAAAGCUUCUUUGUCAAGGGAUGAUUGAGUUUUAUUGGGUUUCUUUGGUCCUUUUGAAGAAGAUUUAGCAGAGUUGGUGUUUUGAUAACAGUCCAACAAAAAAUCUAUCUUCAUCGGAUUGAAGUCUCUCCUGAUUAAAUCAACGAAGAAUAAAGAAUUUUCAGUCAAGUAGUUGAGGUUUGAGCGAAAGGUUUUGUGGCAUCAGAGUUUUAAUGAAGAUAUGAGACAGAGAAGAUCCCCAGCUAAAUCUCCAGCAGUUUUGUGAUGCUUGGAUGGAGCAAAGGCCAUGAUUGCCUUAUUUGCUCUGUUCAUAUUUUAGAGAGAUACUCCGGCGGGAGCAGGAAUACGAGUUGCGGUGUAGAGAGAUUUCCGGCGGUGGAGCUCUGAAGCGGUUACUGUGUCAGGCGUUAAAUCCGUGUCAGACACGUGUCCAAGAAGUCUUCCACCUUGCAAAGGAAAAGAGCAUGUGGAGAGUUUGAAGCUUCUCGAGUUUCCUUUUUAAAUGGGCUGUAUUUUACUAUUAUUUCUCUGUUUGGGCUUUUAACUUGUAAAAACUUGAUGCCAUCUUGUAAAACAAUGCCUUACGGCACGUUAAUGAAAACUCAAAGUUAACAAAAAAAAAAA
rnacentral:lncRNA from 1 species